rnacentral:misc_RNA from 1 species
UACGGAGGGUGCAAGCAUUGAUCGGAAUUACUGGGCGUGAAGGGCGCGUAGGCGGUGGAGGAAGUCAGGUGUGAAAUUUCGGGGCUCAACCUCGGAGCGGCACUUGAGACUUUUUCACUAGAGUGCAGUUAGGGAAAACGGAAUUCCACGUGUAGCGGUGAAAUGCGUAGAUAUGUGGAAGAACACCGGUGGUGAAGACGGUUUUCUGGGCUGUGACAGACGCUGAGGCGCGAAAGCUAGGGGAGCAAACAGG